AGUGAACGCUGGCGGUAGGCCUAACACAUGCAAGUCGAACGGCAGCACAGUAAGAGCUUGCUCUUACGGGUGGCGAGUGGCGGACGGGUGAGGAAUACAUCGGAAUCUACUUUUUCGUGGGGGAUAACGUAGGGAAACUUACGCUAAUACCGCAUACGACCUACGGGUGAAAGCAGGGGAUCUUCGGACCUUGCGCGAUUGAAUGAGCCGAUGUCGGAUUAGCUAGUUGGCGGGGUAAAGGCCCACCAAGGCGACGAUCCGUAGCUGGUCUGAGAGGAUGAUCAGCCACACUGGAACUAAGACACGGUCCAGACUCCUACGGGAGGCAGCAGUGUGGAAUAUUGGACAAUGGGCGCAAGCCUUAUCCAGCCAUACCGCGUGGGUGAAGAAGGCCUUCGGGUUGUAAAGCCCUUUUGUUGGGAAAGAAAAGCAGCAGGUUAAUACCCCGCUGUUCUGACGGUACCCAAAGAAUAAGCACCGGCUAACUUCGUG
rnacentral:rRNA from 1 species